rnacentral:tRNA from 3 species
GGGUGGGUCGCAUAGUUGGUCGAGUGCGCGGCACUGGAAAUGCCGUAGGGUGUCAAAGCUCUCGAGGGUUCGAAUCCCUCUCCACCCGCCA